AUAAAAUAUAUACAACCAAGAACUAUGAUCAACAUUUUAGUUACAAAGUAAAUGAAGUUUCAAACGAUGAUGAACUGAAUAUGGAAGAGUGAGGUGGCGUAGAAACUGUUGUCACGCCCUCAAGCAUUUGGGUAGCCUUCUUCAUGGAGGGUCUCAACGACGGAUCUUCUUGAAUGCACCAAAUUGCUACCAUCACAUACUUUUCCACUCUCUUUACGUCAUUCUUUGCCUCCUCAUCAUUUUCGAUCUACCAAUUUAGCUACCUUCCCUUGGCUAUAACAACGAUAUGCCCAGUCUAUAAGUGCCUCUUUUUCACUAGCCAUUGCAAAGGCAACACUUGAUUUGCAACAUAUGAUCUCUAACAACACGAGAUUUAGGCCAUGCAUCACCAGUGCAGUUUUGGAAAGGAAUAUUGGAAUUUCAUGGUGUUAGAAGGUAGUAGAUUCUGCGAAGGUUUUGGCUUGGAGUUGGCUGAGAUCAAGGAAAAAGGGGUUUUGCUAUUCUAUUUGGUUAGCAAAUCUCUUGGCAUGUUUGAGUGUUACUGCAAUAUAAAGAUGUUGGGGGUUAAGGACAAUGUGAAUAUGGUGUGAGAGUGUAUCGAUUAUGCAGAUAAUAAAUUUUCAUAUGGUUGGUGGGGGCAAAAUAACAAACAUUGGAAGGUAAUUUUUAUAUACCACGUAUGAGAUUUUAUCACUGGAUGUUUGAUAGAUUUGUUGUGUCACUUAUUGGGGAGUUUGGAUGAUGUAUAUGUGCGGGGUACUGGAGUGUUAAGUAAAAUGUGUAAAGGUUGUGAUGAUUAGUGCACUACGACAAUGACUGAUGAGAAGCAAUCAACAAUAUAUCAAAUUUGUUGCAGCAUAUAUAGAAGAGGGGCGUGGAAAUUGAUGUCAGGUACAUUGAAGGAAGGUUAAGAAGCUGUCAUGUAGAUGGAAUUACUCUAUAAGGAAUGGUGGACGUUUGGGUUGGGCCAUUCAUCAAACAGAAGGGGGGGCAGCAGAACUGGCAGGGUGAAUAGGUGCAUGAGGUUAUGUUCUUUUAGACAUUUGUAGUAUCAAGAAACAGCAGAAACAUAUUUCUAAAUUCAGCAUUAUGAAACAUAACAGGUUUAAAUAUAACAACUUAUAUUUUUAAUUCCUUAAUCUUCCUCAUUACUUGCAGGGAUGUAAAACAUGCAUGCUAUUAAUGAUAUAUUCACACGAGAGAAACCAAAAUAAGUAACGAGGAAGAUUACAGGAAUUAAAAAUACAAGUUGUUAUAUAUAGACUUCAAUUUCAAAUAUAUUUUCUGUCA